CAGACAGAAAAUAUUUUUUGAUUGCUUCUGUAUUGAACUUGUACAGACCUUUAUUUCUUGUCAUUAUUCACUGAACAAUACAACAACUGUUUACCUAGCCUUUACAUGUAUUAGUUAUUCUAAAUAAUCUAGAGAUGAUUUAAAGUACACAGGAGGGUGUUUCUAGGUUGGAAGAGGGCCAAAGCUGUCCAUCUUGCAGACGGACAGGAGGGAGCCAGGACACAGCUCGGCUUGCUUGUGCCCAGAGAGAGAAAGAGUGAAGCUGCUGAACCCGAAGGCAGGGGAGAGCCAGCCACACAGUUGUGGGUGGGAGCCACUGGACUAAGCAGCCAAGACAGGGUGAACAGUGUAGGAAAGCUGCUGAUGAGAGGACAAAGUAAAAGAGCUAAUAUAAGUAAGGGUGAUAUUUGGUGUAGUCAUGGACCUGACACCCCACAGACACUGAAGGAUGACUGUAUAUUAUUAUUGGGUUAUUCCUUAUAUGUUCAUCUUUGCAAUUAGACUAUGAACUGAUCUAACGUGGAAAUGGUUUCUCACUCAUCUUUGUAUCUUCCCCUGCCUCUGAGAACCAGGUAUGUGCUCAAAACUGCCUGUGGGCAUUGCAAUAGCAAAGAUAUGGAAUCAAUAUAGGUGUCCAUCAAUGGAUGAGUGGAUAAAGAAAAUGUGGUGUAAAGCUCCUUGAACUUAAUCCAAAAGCUUCAGCUGGCCCCCAUUUCACAUCAAAUGAAGUCCAAAACCAAGAUCUGCCAUUCAAAGGCCAUAAUCCACUCGCCUAUCUCUCUCAUUGUGUCUCCUGCCUUCCCCCAAGAGAAGCUUCCUCCAAGGUGCACCCGAAGAGAGAGCAGGCAUUUGUCCAACAGGCUGUGUUUCUUCUCACCUCCUGUGCCUCGUUACGGUGCAGUGGUACAAGUGUGCGUCCAGACACCUAAGGAGGCCAAGCCACAAGGGAAAGAAAUCCUAACACACGCUACAAUGUGGGUGAACCCGGAGGACAUGGUACUAAGUGAAAUAAGCCAAUCACAGAAGGACAACUACUGUGUGAUUCCACUCACAUGAGGCUCCUAGAGUAGUUAAAUGCAUAGACUCUUAAUGCCAUUCACCUGUACACUUAAAAUAGUUAAGAUGGUCCAUCAUUAAUGUCCAUUUUCCUCAUUAUACUCUAAAUUCUAGAAGGCUGGGACAUGCCUGUCUUGCUGACUCUUACACCCAGUAUCUGGUAUACUGCCUGCCACUUAUAGUAUCAUCCAGAUGCCCCAGUAAGAGUUGGUGAAGUGGAUCAGUUAAGCCAUGGGGAGAAAACAUUUGAAGAAGGAGUGAGCGACCCCAGACCACCAAGCUCUCUGAAAAGCUAAGUAAUAUUAUUUGGCCUAAAAAAUAUCCACUGGUUUAGAAACAAGUAGACAGCUUUUAAAAGUUAAGGGAGUCUUAGAACAAUAAUCUUGGUCAUGAAAGCGAGAAGGAGAGAGUGGAAGGUCCAGGGAAAAGAGGCCUCAGUAGUGCAGUGGGUGAGUGGGUGACAGGUCUGAGAAGAGCAGUGUGAUACAUUUUCUUUA
rnacentral:lncRNA from 1 species